GUCUCUCACACUGCCAUGGACUUGUCACCAAAUUUAUGCUUUCCGCUUAUCGCCUUCAGAUCUGAGAAAAGACCCGUUAGAAAUAACACACAGGGCAACACAAUUUAUUUCAAUCAAGCAUUUCAUACUUUCCAUCACAACAAAGGGGAUAUAUAGAUUAUUAGUCUAGGGCAGCAUUUCCCAAUUGGGGUUCCGCUGUGAAUCGCUACAUCCAUGAUGGCC